rnacentral:lncRNA from 1 species
UUUCCCUCAAAAUAUUUUUCCUCGAAAAGUUUUUCUUCAAAAUUUUUUUUCGUUUCCUUAUUCGUUUUCUUUUUCCAUUUUCGAUUAUCAUUUCCUUAUUCGAUUUUCAUUUCCUUAUUCGGUUUCUAUUUCCUUAUUCAGUUUCCAUUUCCUUUUUCGAUAUUCAAAUUUUAAAAAAAAUAUUACAAUUCCAAACUGAAUAUUUUUUUCUUUCAAAAUUUUUUUUUUCUCAAAUUUUUUUUCAGAAGACUUUUUUUCGUUUCCUUAUUCGUUUUCUUUUUCCUUUUUCGAUUUUCAUUUCCUUAUUCGGUUUCGAUUUCCUUUUUCGAUAUUCAAAUUUUGAAAAACUGAAGUGGCUGCUAUUUUGAUCGGCUGCUAAUAGGCUUUAAUUUGGUGUAUAAUAUGAGCAGAUGGGUUAAGGCAGUCCGUUCAAUUAUUCAAAAUAAGCCAUUUCUCAAAGUUCAUGCGUAUUUUGAUAUUUAAGUCCGUCGGUACUCUUCUACUAGAGGUUUCCCGAUUUGCUACGUAUCUGGUACGGUUGGUACGUAACUCAACGGUUGGUGCUGUUUUGGAGAAAUCAUUUAAUGAAUGAGGUCAUUUCAUUCAUCAUGAUAACAUCAAAAGAAUUGAAAUGCAUAUCAGCAAAAAAACUAGCUUCACGUUUUAUUUGAUAACGAUUUCAACGUUUCUAGAACACUUUGUUUAUGAUUCCCUAUGAAAUUAUUUAGUGGUACAUAAGAGAAUGAAUCAAACAGACCUUAAACGAACUGAGUUGACA